rnacentral:rRNA from 1 species
UACGGAGGGUGCAAGCGUUACUCGGAAUCACUGGGCGUAAAGGACGCGUAGGCGGAUUAUCAAGUCUCUUGUGAAAUCUAACGGCUUAACCGUUAAACUGCUUGGGAAACUGAUAAUCUAGAGUAAGGGAGAGGCAGAUGGAAUUCUUGGUGUAGGGGUAAAAUCCGUAGAUAUUAAGAAGAAUACCUAUUGCGAAGGCGAUCUGCUGGAACUUAACUGACGCUAAUGCGUGAAAGCGUGGGGAGCAAACAGG